rnacentral:rRNA from 1 species
GAGUUUGAUCUUGGCUCAGGACGAACGCUGGCGGCGUGCCUAAUACAUGCAAGUAGAACGCUGAAGAGAGGAGCUUGCUCUUCUUGGAUGAGUUGCGAACGGGUGAGUAACGCGUAGGUAACCUGCCUUGUAGCGGGGGAUAACUAUUGGAAACGAUAGCUAAUACCGCAUAACAAUAGGUGACACAUGUCAUUUAUUUGAAAGGGGCAAUUGCUCCACUACAAGAUGGACCUGCGUUGUAUUAGCUAGUAGGUGAGGUAACGGCUCACCUAGGCGACGAUACAUAGCCGACCUGAGAGGGUGAUCGGCCACACUGGGACUGAGACACGGCCCAGACUCCUACGGGAGGCAGCAGUAGGGAAUCUUCGGCAAUGGGGGCAACCCUGACCGAGCAACGCCGCGUGAGUGAAGAAGGUUUUCGGAUCGUAAAGCUCUGUUGUAAGUCAAGAACGAGUGUGAGAGUGGAAAGUUCACACUGUGACGGUAGCUUACCAGAAAGGGACGGCUAACUACGUGCCAGCAGCCGCGGUAAUACGUAGGUCCCGAGCGUUGUCCGGAUUUAUUGGGCGUAAAGCGAGCGCAGGCGGUUUGAUAAGUCUGAAGUUAAAGGCUGUGGCUCAACCAUAGUUCGCUUUGGAAACUGUCAAACUUGAGUGCAGAAGGGGAGAGUGGAAUUCCAUGUGUAGCGGUGAAAUGCGUAGAUAUAUGGAGGAACACCGGUGGCGAAAGCGGCUCUCUGGUCUGUAACUGACGCUGAGGCUCGAAAGCGUGGGGAGCGAACAGGAUUAGAUACCCUGGUAGUCCACGCCGUAAACGAUGAGUGCUAGGUGUUGGAUCCUUUCCGGGAUUCAGUGCCGCAGCUAACGCAUUAAGCACUCCGCCUGGGGAGUACGACCGCAAGGUUGAAACUCAAAGGAAUUGACGGGGGCCCGCACAAGCGGUGGAGCAUGUGGUUUAAUUCGAAGCAACGCGAAGAACCUUACCAGGUCUUGACAUCCCGAUGCUAUUUCUAGAGAUAGAAAGUUACUUCGGUACAUCGGUGACAGGUGGUGCAUGGUUGUCGUCAGCUCGUGUCGUGAGAUGUUGGGUUAAGUCCCGCAACGAGCGCAACCCCUAUUGUUAGUUGCCAUCAUUCAGUUGGGCACUCUAGCGAGACUGCCGGUAAUAAACCGGAGGAAGGUGGGGAUGACGUCAAAUCAUCAUGCCCCUUAUGACCUGGGCUACACACGUGCUACAAUGGUUGGUACAACGAGUUGCGAGUCGGUGACGGCAAGCUAAUCUCUUAAAGCCAAUCUCAGUUCGGAUUGUAGGCUGCAACUCGCCUACAUGAAGUCGGAAUCGCUAGUAAUCGCGGAUCAGCACGCCGCGGUGAAUACGUUCCCGGGCCUUGUACACACCGCCCGUC